rfam:Verrucomicrobia subdivision 6 bacterium BACL9 MAG-120924-bin69 contig01974_1_120924-bin69, whole genome shotgun sequence.
GCGGGCGUGAUGUAAUGGUAGCCUGCGAGCUUCCCAAGCUUGAUGUGAGAGUUCGAUUCUCUCCGCCCGCA